GUUGUAAAGCUCUUUCGUCGGGGAAGAAAAUGACUGUACCCGAAUAAGAAGGUCCGGCUAACUUCGUGCCAGCAGCCGCGGUAAUACGAAGGGACCUAGCGUAGUUCGGAAUUACUGGGCUUAAAGAGUUCGUAGGUGGUUGAAAAAGUUGGUGGUGAAAUCCCAGAGCUUAACUCUGGAACUGCCAUCAAAACUUUUCAGCUAGAGUAUGAUAGAGGAAAGCAGAAUUUCUAGUGUAGAGGUGAAAUUCGUAGAUAUUAGAAAGAAUACCAAUUGCGAAGGCAGCUUUCUGGAUCAUUACUGACACUGAGGAACGAAAGCAUGGGUAGCGAAGAGGAUUAGAUACCCUCGUAGUCCAUGCCGUAAACGAUGUGUGUUAGACGUUGGAAAUUUAUUUUCAGUGUCGCAGUGAAAGCGAUAAACACACCGCCUGGGGAGUACGACCGCAAGGUUAAAACUCAAAUGAAUUGACGGGGACCCGCACAAGUAGUGGAGCAUGUGGUUUAAUUCGAAGAUACGCGCAGAACCUUACCAACACUUGACAUGUUCGUCGCGACUUUAAGAGAUUAAAGUUUUCGGUUCGGCCGGACGAAACACAGGUGCUGCAUGGCUGUCGUCAGCUCGUGUCGUGAGAUGUUGGGUUAAGUCCCGCAACGAGCGCAACCCUCACUUUUAGUUGCCAUCAUUUAGUUGGGCACUCUGAAAGAACUGCCAGUGAUAAGCUGGAGGAAGGUGGGGAUGACGUCAAGUCCUCAUGGCCCUUACGUGUUGGGCUACACACGUGCUACAAUGGUAUAUACAACAGGAAGCAAGACGGCGACGUUAAGCAAAUCCUCAAAAGAUACCUCAGUUCGGAUUGCACUCUGCAACUCGAGUGCAUGAAGCUGGAAUUACUAGUAAU
rnacentral:rRNA from 1 species